GAGUAUUGUUAUAUCGCUGUUGAGAAUAUAGUUAUUUUCUGGCCAAAUACUUGAUCCAAUACUACAACGGGACGCAGGGAAGAGGAGAGAGUAAGGUUCAAAGGAAUUUCAACACAACAGUGCCAGUCAACAAAUACAGAUAAGAACUGACUGCUAUUCUCUGUGAAUUUACCAUGUCCAACAGAACUCCCUGGACUGUUCCUGA